UUUAAAUGGCCGCAGUAUAUUAACUGUGCAAAGGUAGCAUAAUCAUUAGUCUUUUAAUUGAAGGCUGGUAUGAAUGGUUGGACGAGAUAUUAACUGUUUCAUAAUAAUUUAUAAUAAAAUUUUAUUUUUUAGUUAAAAAGCUAAAAUUUAAUUAAAAGACGAGAAGACCCUAUAAAUCUUUAUAUAUAAAUUAUUAGGAUUUUGUAGAUUUUUUUUAUUAUAAUAAUUAGUUGUAUUUUAUUGGGGUGAUAUUAAAAUUUAAUGAACUUUUAAUUUUAAAAAUCAUUAAUUUAUGAAUAAUUGAUCCAUUAAUAGUGAUUAAAAAAAUAAGUUACUUUAGGGAUAACAGCGUAAUUUUUUUGGAGAGUUCAUAUCGAUAAAAAAGAUUGCGACCUCGAUGUUGG
rnacentral:rRNA from 1 species